ACGAACGCUGGCGGCGUGCUUAACACAUGCAAGUCGAACGGAAAGGCCCUGCUUUUGUGGGGUGCUCGAGUGGCGAACGGGUGAGUAACACGUGAGUAACCUGCCCUUGACUUUGGGAUAACUUCAGGAAACUGGGGCUAAUACCGGAUAGGAGCUCCUGCUGCAUGGUGGGGGUUGGAAAGAUUCGGCGGUUGGGGAUGGACUCGCGGCUUAUCAGCUUGUUGGUGGGGUAGUGGCUUACCAAGGCUUUGACGGGUAGCCGGCCUGAGAGGGUGACCGGCCACAUUGGGACUGAGAUACGGCCCAGACUCCUACGGGAGGCAGCAGUGGGGAAUAUUGCACAAUGGGCGGAAGCCUGAUGCAGCAACGCCGCGUGCGGGAUGACGGCCUUCGGGUUGUAAACCGCUUUCGCCUGUGACGAAGCGUGAGUGACGGUAAUGGGUAAAGAAGCACCGGCUAACUACGUG
rnacentral:rRNA from 1 species